UAAAUUGUACAUUUAAAUCAUCACUUGAGAGUAUAAAAAUCACUUUUGAUGUACAGUGCUUUGCAACCAAUAAUUUACCGCUGGUUUGGUGCUUGUUCACUGAGACGAUUUUAACUGGAACAUCCCCCCUCGUAAGCAGCUACGCAACAUUGCGAAUAUCAUAUUUUUUGUCAUUUAACUACCGGUAUGUAUUUAAUGCGGUUUCGGCAUGAGAAAGGUAUUAAUCGCAAAUUCCAGCACUAACGGAUACCGGGAAAUAGAAAUAAGAGAACCGGUCACGAAUGCGGAGCCACGCCCUAAAAUAACACGUGACCACAAGGCGUUUGUGACGCAAUCAUGCGUUCCAACUUUGUCAUAAUUGUCUGUAGGUUCUAAAUUGCUUAUGAGCUUGGCUUCCCUUCAGAAAGUAGCUGAUUCUUGUACUCUACAGCUGUAUUUUCCUACAGUUACUAAUAAUACUAGCAACAAAACAGAUUUCAUUCCUUAAAAUGAUAUUGCCAGAUGGAAGAAAAUUAUAAGGUAGGCCUAAACUGUAAUAAGAUAUACCUUAAAGACUGCUUGUGUUUAAUCCUGAAUCCAGUUGCCCCUCUUGUACUGGGAUAAAACAAUAGGCAAGCCAUGAACCUUAUGGAGGAGUGCAUGUGUUUUGUAGACACACCUGGGUUCUAGACUGGCUGAGGUAAACAUUUUAGGAAAGCCUGGGUUUUUAAUAUCGAAGUCAUUCUAAGGGGUAGGUUUGACAAAGCAAAUGAGUGAGUGAGUGUUUGACAUGAAGACAGUGGUUAGGUUCUGCCAUUGGGACUGCUCUGAUGUUUCCAUUCUCUCCUGGUUAUGACCAUAGAGCCUUGUCCCAGUCUCUAGACCUGCCUGUCUGUGUGAUGGAUGACCACCUGACCUCUGAAGCUGUCAAUGAGAUGGAGCAGAGCAAUUGUACCAGGAGCAGAGCAACCUCAGUGAUGGAAACCACAGAAGAGGGGAAGCUCAACAAUGUGGAACAUCUGACACUUAUGGACUUCCUUCAAAACCUAACUGAGAAGCAAUGGAAGGGGAUUCGUGAGGGCAUGUUUGACCCGCUGACAAAACAACAGCUUG
rnacentral:lncRNA from 13 species